UGGCGCGUGCCUAAACAUGCAAGUCGAACGCGAAGYCCCGAAGGGGCAAGUAGAGUGGCAAACGGGUGAGUAACACGUGGGUGACCUGCCUUCGAGCGGGGGAUAACGUCCCGAAAGGGACGCUAAUACCGCAUAACAUCCUGCCUUUGAAGAGGUGGAGAUCAAAGCUGGGGAUCGCAAGACCCGGCACUUGAAGAGGGGCUCGCGYCUGAUUAGCUAGUUGGUGGGGUAACGGCCUACCAAGGCAACGAUCAGUAUCCGGCCUGAGAGGGCGGACGGACACACUGGGACUGAGACACGGCCCAGACUCCUACGGGAGGCAGCAGUGGGGAAUUGUUCGCAAUGGGCGCAAGCCUGACGACGCAACGCCGCGUGGAGGAUGAAGAUUUUCGGAUCGUAAACUCCUGUCGAAUGGGACGAAYAGAUUGCGGGUUAACAGCCCGUGRUCCUGACGGUACCGUUAAAGGAAACCCCGGCUAACUCCGUGCCAGCAGCCGCGGUAAUACGGGGGGGGUAAGCGUUGUUCGGAAUUACUGGGCGUAAAGGGCUCGUAGGCGGCCAACUAAGUCAUACGUGAAAUCCCUCAGCUUAACUGGGGAACUGCGUGUGAUACUGGAUGGCUUGGAUUUGGGAGAGGGAUGCGGAAUUCCAGGUGU
rnacentral:rRNA from 1 species